AUUGAACGCUGGCGGCAGGCCUAAGACAUGCAAGUCGAACGGUAACGACACUAGCUUGCUAGUGGUCGACGAGUGGCGGACGGGUGAGUAACGCGUAGGAAUCUACCUAGUAGUGGGGGAUAGCCAAGGGAAACUUUGGGUAAUACCGCAUACGAUCUAAGGAUGAAAGGGGGCCUCUCUUUGAAGCUCUCGCUAUUAGAUGAGCCUGCGUAAGAUUAGCUUGUUGGUGGGGUAAUGGCCCACCAAGGCGACGAUCUUUAGCUGGUCUGAGAGGAUGAUCAGUCACACUGGAACUGAGACACGGUCCAGACUCCUACGGGAGGCAGCAGUCGGGAAUAUUGGACAAUGGGGGAAACCCUGAUCCAGCCAUGCCGCGUGUGUGAAGAAGGCCCUAGGGUUGUAAAGCACUUUUAGUAGUGAGGAAGGCUCAGUAGUUAAUACCUACUGGGAUUGACGUUAGCUACAGAAAAAGCACCGGCUAAUUUCGUGCCAGCAGCCGCGGUAAUACGAAAGGUGCAAGCGUUAAUCGGAAUUACUGGGCGUAAAGCGCGCGUAGGCGGCUUGGUAAGUUGGAUGUGAAAGCCCCGGGCUCAACCUGGGAACUGCAUCCAAAACUGCCUAGCUAGAGUAUGGUAGAGGAUGGCGGAAUUUCCUGUGUAGCGGUGAAAUGCGUAGAUAUAGGAAGGAACAUCAGUGGCGAAGGCGGCCAUCUGGACCAAUACUGACG
rnacentral:rRNA from 1 species